rnacentral:lncRNA from 1 species
UGUUUAGGGUUUAAAACCCUAAUGCUGACUGAAUGGAAAAGAGUUUAGUUUAGGGUUUAAAACCCUAAUGCUGACUAAAGGAAAAGUUCAGUUUAGGGUUUAAAAACCCUAAUGCUGACUAAAGGAAAAGUUCAGUUUAGGGUUUAAAAUCCUAAUGCUGACUGAAUGGAAAAAGUUCAGUUUAGGGUUUAAAACCCUAAUGCUGACCGAAUGGAAAAGAGUUCAGUUUAGGGUUUAAAACCCUAAUGCUGAUCGAAUGGAAAAGAGUUCAGCUUAGGGUUUAAAACCCUAAUGCUGACUAGAUGGAAAAGAGUUUAGUUUAGGGUUUAAAAGCCUAAUGCUGACUGGAUGGAAAAGAGUUCAGUUUAGGGUUUAAAACACUAAUGCUGACUCUGACUAUAGGAGAAGUUCAGUUUAGGGUUUAAAACUCUAAUGCUGACUAAAUGGAAAAGAGUUCAGGUUAGGGUAUAAAACCCUAAUGCUGACUAAAGGAAAAGUUCAGUUUAGGGUUUAAAACCCUAAUGCUGACUAAAGGAAAAGUUCAGUUUAGGGUUUAAAACCUUAAUGCUGACUGAAUGGAAAAGUUCA